rnacentral:lncRNA from 1 species
GGGACUUGCCUCACACCCUGCUUUCACGCUCUAGGCUCCUUUCUUUCUCUGGUGAUAUUUCCUCCCAAUAACUCUGAGCUGGAGCAGCCCUGAGCUGGAGAGACUCUGAACUGGAGCAGCCCUGAGCUGGAGCAGCCCUAUGCUGGAGGGACCCUGAGCUGGAGCAGCCCUGUGCUGGAGGGACCCUGAGCUGGAGCAGCCCUGUGCUGGAGGGACCCUGAGCUGGAGCAGCCCUGUGCUGGAGGGACCCUGAGCUGGAGCAGCCCUGUGCUGGAGGGACCCUGAGCUGGAGCAGCCCUGUGCUGGAGGGACCCUGAGCUGGAGCAGCCCUGUGCUGGAGGGACCCUGAGCUGGAGCAGCCCUGUGCUGGAGGGACCCUGAGCUGGAGCAGCCCUGUGCUGGAGGGACCCUGAGCUGGAGCAGCCCUGUGCUGGGACCCUGAGCUGGAGCAGCCCUGAGCUGGAGAGACUCUGAAUUGGAGCAGCCCUGAGCUGGAGAGACUCUGAGCUGGAACAGCCCUAUGCUGGAGGGACCCUGAGCUGGAGCAGCCCUGUGCUGGAGGGACCCUGAGCUGGAGCAGCCCUGUGCUGGAGGGACCCUGAGCUGGAGCAGCCCUGUGCUGGAGGGACCCUGAGCUGGAGCAGCCUUGUGCUGGAGAGACCCCGAGCUGGAACAGCCCCGAGCUGGAACAGUCCCGAGCUGCCUCUCUUGUUAGGAGUGAGCUGGUUUAUCUGUGGGUCACGGAGGUGUACUGAGCUCCAUCUGCAGAUCAGUUAAUCGCUAACAAAUGUGGGCGAGUUUUCACCCAGCACAGACCACAGGCCGUGUCUCAGACGCUUUGCCAAGCCAUUUUGGAGCUGUAAGCAACUGGCCUGCUUCCAAGCUGAAUCUGUUCUGGCACACAGAGGCCAUGAGCCUGUGAAGCUCUGACUCUGGCACUGGGAUUGGGUUCGUGAGGAAUCAUGAGCCAUGAGAUGGCCUCCAGUCGGUCAGCAGGGCAGGAAGGGACUAGGACUCAGGAUUAGGGGCCGAGUCAUCACUGACCUUCACAGCGACCUCUGCACUGGCAGAGGUGGGAAGUGGGGUUUUCAGAACGCCUGCUUCGGUUGCUGGGCACUCUGCUUGGUUAGAGAGAUGGUGGUAAGUUUGUCUGCCUCCAUUUCCAAGUGGGCCGUCACAGGCAUAACGGGGUUGGAGAUACCAACAGACCAAAGAAGAAAAGCAACAGCUCGGUUAUCACUAAGCCUUUCCAUGGCUCACUGAUGAGGACGUGAGAAGUUGGUAACCCACACCCCACAGUGACAGGGACUCCCUUUCAGACACUGCCAUGAGUUGUCACGACAGCAGCAGUGGUGACUGUGACACCGUGUCGUCACUUCCUGGUGUCCCACACGCUGGCUGCCCUCACUCCCCUUCCCCUGCCUGCUCGUGGGAUGCAGCGGAUCAGGUGGGCAGGUGGUAGGAGUCAGUUCAAGAGGGUGAACACGACCCUGGAGCUGGAGGGGCAGGAACAAUAUCCUGGGGCAGGCGUGGCCGAGUGUCCCUUAGCUGAGGGACAGUUUCCUGUUUCCUGUCCUUUACGGUGAGCUCCUCCCGGGCAGUGGAAGCAGAUGAGCAUCUGCUGAGGUGUGAGAAGACGCUCUGGAAGAUGAGAGCUUCCGGAUUUCUGCUUGAAUGGUUUCCUCUACUCCCAUCCCUGAGUGCUCUCCCUGCCUGCGACCCACCUCUCAACACAUCCACUCAGGACAAGAUGGAUGAGGAUGAGACUAAUAGCUUCCAGGUGUGGCCUGGCUUCUGGGGUCUCCAUGUUCAUAUUGGGGCAUUAAUAAGCUUCUGCAUCGAGAGUGGUCUAGCUCAGCAUAGUCCAGACUGUAGUCCACAGAUGUGAGAGGCACCGAGACAAGAGGCCUUCAGCUCCAGUUAUAAGACUGUGCUUUGUUACGAGCAGAGCAGACGCUGUCUGUGGGGACCCUAGUUCUGGACUCUCAUCAGGACGUUGGCAUCAGUGAACGCAUCUCAGACCUUUACUGAGGUAGUCACCGUUUUAAUCUGUCGGUCGUGAUUACAGUUGACAGACUCAAAAUAAAAAUUAAGAAAGUAUGAUAGGAAGAGCUCAUAGCUUGUGCCCUUAAAGGGAUCGACUUCAGACAUGGCUGGAUCCAGGCACUCGAAUGGCAGGAUCAGGGAAACAACCCCUCCAUCUCUCCCUCCCACCAUUUUGGUUGUCAGUGGUUUCUCCCCUCUCAGGGUAGUUCUGUUCUUGUACUUGUUUCCAUUUUCAGGAGCCCUAGGAGAAAGGCAUUUUUUUUUAUCCCAAAAUUUAAACCUAAGUACAAAAUAUGAGUCUUACA